rnacentral:lncRNA from 1 species
CUGUUCCAAACAUGGAUGGCCAUAGUUCUGUGAUACCUGUGUUGAGCAGACAACAAUAUGAACAAUUGAUGACCUUGCUGCAACAAACUCAGUUAGGGGACUCCGCUGCCCAGACUCCUCCUCCCAUGUAUGCUGCCAAUUUUGCUGGUACUAUGCUUACUGAGAGCCCUAUUUCUGAUUCCUCUGUGAUACCUGGGUUGAGCAGACAACAAUAUGACUAAUUGAUGACCUUGCUGCAACAAACUCAGUUAGGGGACUCCGCUGCCCAGACUCCUCCUCCCAUGUAUGCUGCCAAUUUUGCUGGUACUAUGCUAACUAAGAGCCAUGUUUCUGAUUCCAAAUUUUUCAUGCUUACUCACAUUAAUUCUGCCACCUGGAUAAUAGACUCAGGGGCAUCUAGCCAUAUGACCUUUAAUAAAGAUUUACUCUACAAUCUCACACCUUUAACUGUACCCCUAUCUUGUAACUCUUCCUAAUGGAUAUAAAGUGAAAGUGACAUGCACAGGAUCUUUUGCAUUAAAUCCAUUCAUCAUUCUUCAUGAUGUCUUACUUGUUCCUUCUUUCAAACACAACAUGAUUUCUGUCUACAAACUAGUAAAACAGUUGCAUUGCAUAGUAAAGAGGAGGCUGGUCUGUACAAGUUUGCUUGGGUUCCAACUUCCUCUUCUUCUAAUUGUUGUUCUUCUGCUUCUGUAGUUCUUCUUCUUCUAAUUCUUGUAAACUUGACUGUUCUAGUCAUAAAGUUAUUACAUUACCUUCAAUUGUAAAUAGUUCCAUCUGUAAUAAUGCUGUUGCCACUGACAUGAAUUACAUUUGGCAUUUGAGAUUGGCUCAUAUUUCAUUUGCAAACAUGAAACACAUUUCUGCCUUGUCUUUUCCAUUUGCUUCUAAACUGCCUUUACAUUGUUCUAUUUGUCCUAUGGCUAGGCAAACUAGACUUCCCUUUCCUGAAAGAACUACAAGUACAUCUAGACCUUUCCAAUUGAUUCAUGUAGAUACUCGGGGCCCUUAUCACACUCCCACCUCUUCUGGCGCUAGAUAUUUUCUAACAAUAGUUGAUGUUUGUUCUAGAGCAACCUGGACACAUUUAUUGGGGUCUACAAGCAAUGCUUUCUGCAUGCUUAAGUCUUUUCUGUGUAUGGUUAAAACCC